GCCAGCAUAGCUCAGUGGUAGAGCGGCGCUUUUGUAAAGCGAUGGUCGGGGGUUCAAAUCCUCCUGCUGGCU
rnacentral:tRNA from 1 species